rnacentral:rRNA from 1 species
UACAGAGGAUGCAAGCGUUAAUCGGAAUUACUGGGCGUAAAGCGUGCGUAAACGGUUAUUUAAGUCAGGUGUGAAAGCCCAGGGCUCAACCUUGGAAUUGCAUUUGAGACUGAAUAGCUAGGGUGCGGAAGAGGGAAGCGGAAUUUCCGGUGUAGCGGUGAAAUGCGUAGAUAUCGGAAGGAACACCGGUGGCGAAGGCGGGUCUCUGGGCCGUAACUGACGCUGAGGAGCGAAAGCGUGGGGAGCGAACAGG